rnacentral:rRNA from 1 species
AUUGAACGCUGGCGGCAGGCCUAACACAUGCAAGUCGAGCGGAUGAAGGGAGCUUGCUCCUGGAUUCAGCGGCGGACGGGUGAGUAAUGCCUAGGAAUCUGCCUGGUAGUGGGGGAUAACGUCCGGAAACGGGCGCUAAUACCGCAUACGUCCUGAGGGAGAAAGUGGGGGACCUUCGGACCUCACGCUAUCAGAUGAGCCUAGGUCGGAUUAGCUAGUUGGUGGGGUAAAGGCCUACCAAGGCGACGAUCCGUAACUGGUCUGAGAGGAUGAUCAGUCACACUGGAACUGAGACACGGUCCAGACUCCUACGGGAGGCAGCAGUGGGGAAUAUUGGACAAUGGGCGAAAGCCUGAUCCAGCCAUGCCGCGUGUGUGAAGAAGGUCUUCGGAUUGUAAAGCACUUUAAGUUGGGAGGAAGGGCAGUAAGUUAAUACCUUGCUGUUUUGACGUUACCAACAGAAUAAGCACCGGCUAAUUUCGUG